AUUGAACGCUGGCGGCAUGCCUUACACAUGCAAGUCGAACGGCAGCACGGGAGCAAUCCUGGUGGCGAGUGGCGAACGGGUGAGUAAUAUAUCGGAACGUGCCCAGUCGUGGGGGAUAACGUAGCGAAAGCUACGCUAAUACCGCAUACGAUCUAUGGAUGAAAGCGGGGGAUCGCAAGACCUCGCGCGAUUGGAGCGGCCGAUAUCAGAUUAGGUAGUUGGUGAGGUAAAGGCUCACCAAGCCGACGAUCUGUAGCUGGUCUGAGAGGACGACCAGCCACACUGGGACUGAGACACGGCCCAGACUCCUACGGGAGGCAGCAGUGGGGAAUUUUUGGACAAUGGGCGCGAAGCCUGAUCCAGCAAUGCCGCGUGCAGGAUGAAGGCCUC
rnacentral:rRNA from 1 species